UGCCAGCAGCCGCGGUAAUACGGAGGGGGUUAGCGUUGUUCGGAAUUACUGGGCGUAAAGCGCACGUAGGCGGAUUAGAAAGUUAGAGGUGAAAUCCCUCGGCUCAACCGAGGAACUGCAUUGGAUACUGGUAGCCUUGAGUCUCGGAGAGGAAAGCGGAAUUCCCAGUGUAGAGGUGAAAUUCGUAGAUAUUGGGAGGAACACCAGUGGCGAAGGCGGCUUUCUGGACGAUGACUGACGCUGAGGCGCGAAAGCAUGGGUAGCAAACAGGAUUAGAUA
rnacentral:rRNA from 1 species